UUGGAGAGGUUUGAUCCUGGCUCAGGAUGAACGCUGGCGGCGUGCCUAAUACAUGCAAGUCGAGCGAACAGAUAAGGAGCUUGCUCCUUUGACGUUAGCGGCGGACGGGUGAGUAACACGUGGAUAACCUACCUAUAAGACUGGGAUAACUUCGGGAAACCGGAGCUAAUACCGGAUAACAUAUUGAACCGCAUGGUUCAAUAGUGAAAGGCGGCUUUGCUGUCACUUAUAGAUGGAUCCGCGCCGUAUUAGCUAGUUGGUAAGGUAACGGCUUACCAAGGCAACGAUACGUAGCCGACCUGAGAGGGUGAUCGGCCACACUGGAACUGAGACACGGUCCAGACUCCUACGGGAGGCAGCAGUAGGGAAUCUUCCGCAAUGGGCGAAAGCCUGACGGAGCAACGCCGCGUGAGUGAUGAAGGUCUUCGGAUCGUAAAACUCUGUUAUCAGGGAAGAACAAAUGUGUAAGUAACUGUGCACAUCUUGACGGUACCUGAUCAGAAAGCCACGGCUAACUACGUGCCAGCAGCCGCGGGUAAU
rnacentral:rRNA from 1 species